rnacentral:rRNA from 1 species
UACGUAGGUGGCGAGCGUUAUCCGGAAUUAUUGGGCGUAAAGCGCGCGCCGGCGGUUUCUUAAGUCUGAUGUGAAAGCCCACGGCUCAACCGUGGAGGGUCAUUGGAAACUGGGAAACUUGAGUGCAGAAGAGGAAAGCGGAAUUCCACGUGUAGCGGUGAAAUGCGUAGAGAUGUGGAGGAACACCAGUGGCGAAGGCGGCUUUCUGGUCUGUAACUGACGCUGAGGCGCGAAAGCAUGGGGAGCAAAAGGG